rnacentral:lncRNA from 1 species
CUCAGGUUGAUCGAGCCACACUCAGACUUGGACAUUCAUUUAUUGGAUACGCUUAGUACAGUCAUAUUAAUGAUUGGACCUAACCAAAAUUUUCAGUAGAGGCACCAUACGCUUGCUGAAAAGAGGUCUGGGGUAAAAUCUAAUUGCUAGAAGUUGUUUAGAAAAAUAAUUAGUUAUGAAUCUAUCCAUGGAUGCACUAGGGUUGGUCGAGCCACACUCGGGUCCGAAUGUAGUUUGUGUAGAUUAUAUUACC